rnacentral:sRNA from 1 species
UAAUAAUUAGCAUAAAUUAAUUCUGACAUCCUCACCAUUAAUGCACGCCACAUCACUUCUCAAGCCAUUAAAACCCACUCCCAACUCUGAUUUUCACCUCUCUGCUGUGCGCGGAAAGCUGGGCCAAAAUCAUUUCUCUGGAAACAUUAAAAACGCACCAAUCUUUGCAUGCAAGCACGCCACGUGUUGCGGAAGAAGUUUCCAAAUCAGAGUUUAGGUGCAGGUGUCGGCUUGAGACACGUUCAUUCAAACGAACACGAGUUUAACAAAACCAGAUUUUUCUGAAAAACUCUCUCACCUGCAUCACUCAUCUUCUUCCUCACGAAACACACCCAUUCAUUUUCUCCAACUUCUCUCUAGAACUCCCAAGCUUCUCUCUACUAUAACUCCUCAUUUUCUUCUCCAAAUUCCAUUUCAGAACCAUAGGAACGUUUCCAGAGUCGCGGACGUUAGUUUGGACCGAACAGAAUUUGAUUCUAAUCUGAUCAAGUGGUUAGAUUUAGUAGAAGGAACUUAAGUGGCUGUUGCGUAUAAAAGAGUUGUAGUGGAACGUGUGGAAGUUAUAUUUUAGGGCGUACACUGCUAUCCAG